rnacentral:rRNA from 2 species
UAAAGGUGGCUUUCGGGCUGUCGCAGAUGGAUGAGCCUGCGUUGGAUUAGCUAGUUGGUGGGGUAAGGGCCCACCAAGGCUACGAUCCAUAGCUGAUUUGAGAGGAUGAUCAGCCACAUUGGGACUGAGACACGGCCCAAACUCCUACGGGAGGCAGCAGUGGGGAAUAUUGGACAAUGGGGGCAACCCUGAUCCAGCAAUGCCAUGUGUGUGAAGAAGGCCCUAGGGUUGUAAAGCACUUUAGUUGGGGAGGAAAGCCUCAAGGUUAAUAGCCUUGGGGGAGGACGUUACCCAAAGAAUAAGCACCGGCUAACUCCGUGCCAGCAGCCGCGGUAAUACGGGGGGUGCAAGCGUUAAUCGGAAUUACUGGGCGUAAAGGGUCUGUAGGUGGUUUGUUAAGUCAGAUGUGAAAGCCCAGGGCUCAACCUUGGAACUGCAUUUGAUACUGGCAAACUAGAGUACGGUAGAGGAAUGGGGAAUUUCUGGUGUAGCGGUGAAAUGCGUAGAGAUCAGAAGGAACACCAAUGGCGAAGGCAACAUUCUGGACCGAUACUGACACUGAGGGACGAAAGCGUGGGGAUCAAACAGGAUUAGAUACCCUGGUAGUCCACGCUGUAAACGAUGAGUACUAGCUGUUGGAGUCGGUGUAAAGGCUCUAGUGGCGCAGCUAACGCGAUAAGUACUCCGCCUGGGGACUACGGCCGCAAGGCUAAAACUCAAAGGAAUUGACGGGGACCCGCACAAGCGGUGGAGCAUGUGGUUUAAUUCGAUGCAACGCGAAGAACCUUACCUGGUCUUGACAUCCUGCGAACUUUCUAGAGAUAGAUUGGUGCCUUCGGGAACGCAGUGACAGGUGCUGCACGGCUGUCGUCAGCUCGUGUUGUGAAAUGU